rnacentral:lncRNA from 1 species
CUAAAUCCCUAAAGGUUAGAGAAGCUUGAAAGUCAGCUGCCAUACGACCACCCAUCCUCCUCCUGCCCGUCCCCAUUUCCCUCACUCACCUGAACCACACUACUCUUCUUCUUCACGACGACCUGGGCGGACAGCCAUAGAAAAAGACCAGCUAUAGCCCAUCGCACAGCCAAACGACCGCCCUGAUCUCCCGUCACCUGUUCGUCCACCACCAUCCUAGACACACAACACACACAGACUCAGCCGUUCCUGUUCUUCUACUCAAAGGUGAGAGCCUAAGUUCUGUUCGUGGUGCUGUUCAAAUCCCCAUGUUUGUGAGGCUGUCCGGCCAAGCUCAGAUCUGGAAAAUGAUUUUGUGUUCGAGGCUGCUGGCUUGAUGUCGUCGUUCUGUUGCCGAGUUCAGUCCGAUCGAGUCUCAGUCGUCUUUGAAAAGUCGAGUUUGUUCCGAAGAGGUUUGGUCGAGUUCGUUGGGAUUCUGACGAAGCAGUUCAUUUUUUCGUUCGAGUUUUCUAGAUCCGAUGUCGAUUUAAGGUUCCGCAAUUUUGGCGGGUCAAGCUUAACAAAGGUCCGUUUCUUUGUUAAAUUUGGAUGUUCGUUUUACAGGUCAUCUUGUACUGGUUUGGGUUUGAGAUUCUGCCAUUUUGGAAAUUCACAUGUUAAUGUUAUUUAUCUUUGUUUUGUAUAGUUUGUUUGAGUUUGUUAUUUUGUGAUAUUUGUGUUGUUUAUAUUAACAUCGACCAACCCCAUUUUCAAUUAGAAGGUUGAGGAGAAGAGGGGAUGAGGACAAGAAGGGUCGCUCUGGCGGUAAGCAACCUCCAAUUCCAACCAAGAUGUUGUGAGUUCGAGUCUCCCCAAGAGUAAGGUGGGAAGUUCUUGGAGGGAAGGAUGCCGGGNN